ACACGUGGGUAACCUGCCUUAUAGUGGGGGAUAGCCUUUCGAAAGGAAGAUUAAUACCGCAUAAGAUUGUAGUAUCGCAUGAUAUAGCAAUUAAAGGAGCAAUCCGCUAUAAGAUGGACCCGCGUCGCAUUAGCUAGUUGGUGAGGUGAUGGCUCACCAAGGCGACGAUGCGUAGCCGACCUGAGAGGGUGAACGGCCACAUUGGGACUGAGACACGGCCCAGACUCCUACGGGAGGCAGCAUG
rnacentral:rRNA from 1 species